rnacentral:lncRNA from 1 species
GUCUUGGUCUAUUUUUAUUUGCCAACAACUCUUAAUAAACUGGAUUAUACUACAGUCGGGAAUGUUAAUUGGAUUGAUCGGUUGCCGUCACAUUGCCUUACAUUAAUUCGAUAAAAUGUAUGUCAUAAGAACAUGACGAAAUUAACGAUUUUACUUUAAAUGACAUGAUUAGAACAAAUAAAUUGCUUAAUGGAAAAUUUUAGAAAGGAUAAAUUUUGAAUUUUUUAAAACAAAUCAUUUGAUAUUUU